ACAGCAAAAAAAUGGUUAUAACAAUGUUAUAACGUUCGGCCAGCUUUGAUUUACAGCUAUUUGACAGCAAAUGCUAUUUUGCUAAAUUUUUAGCUGGGAAAGCGAAACAACAGCUAAUGUAAAAAAAGUGAAAAGACUGCAACAGCUAUUUCGAUGACAGCUGUGAAGUCAUUGUGACAGACACUAUUUUGCUGUGAAGAAGUUCAUCAUAACUUGUUUAUAACAAAAUAACUGAACAGCCAAAUAGCAGCAACAACAUUUUGAAAACCUAAAAAUGUUAUGCUACUUUUACUGGUGCAACAUUGUCAAAACAUUAUAAUGAUGUUGUGGCAGUAGCUGUGCUAGACAAAAUGCUCUGAUUUAAACUGCAACAACAUUAUCGCAGCCGUUUUACAAUUUUACGUGCUUGGGGAGAAAUGUCAUAAUACUCGCCGUCUUCCGGGGUAUUGAUUGAUAGAUUGAAGUUUAUUUAGCUUUCUCAGCUAUUAUGUUUUAUAUUGAUUUACAUGCUUUUUUAACAUCCGUUUAAAUAUAUCAAUUCUUUCACAACUUCUAAUUUCUGCUGACAAGGUAUUGUACGCCCUCAUAAUUUUACGCCCUCAUAACACAUGCAUUUUUGUGCACUUUUAGUUUUAAUAAAUUUUAUUGCGAUAGUCUCUUCUUGUUUUGUUUUUCUUUCAUUUUCAUUACUAAUUACUUCUAGUCUAUCCCUUAAGUAAUUUGGCGCCAAGUUAUGUAAAAUCUUAAAUAUAAAUAUACAUACAUUAUAGUGUAGUCUCUUUUAUAGACAUAAAUUGCAACGCUUGUAACAUAUAUUCUAUUUUGGUGUAUUUAUUACAUUGUAAUAUUACUCGCAUAGCCCGAUUCUGUGCUACUUGCAAUUUAUUCAAUUGCGUUUCUCCCAUAUCUACCAGUAGAGACCAGGAGAGACCGGGAAAAACCGGGAGAGACGGGGAAAACGGAGAGAGACGGAGAGAGACGGGGAGAGACGGGGAGAGACCGGGAGAGACGCGGAGAGACGGGGAUUGUAAUUUCGCAACAGGAGAAACAGACCCGUAAUAAAUAGUAUCACCCACAAAGAGCGGGACGAGACGCGGUACAACGUGUUCGUUGCCGGCAAUGUUCGUGCACUAACCAGCACGAAAUGCGACUGUCUCCUCGUGCCUCAUAACGCAACUCUAAUAACGACAUUAAAGAUGUUUUUUUUAUUAAUUAAGGUGGAAGACCAAGCUAAGAGAUAUGAACGAUUCCGAAUGAACAUGGACAAAUCAUAACGCUUUUUUUCAUGCCCCGGCAAAAAAAGGAACAUAUUCGUUAAUAUAAUUUUUUUGAAGGACUAUUAAUAAAACAUAAAUUCUGGCUUUGCCAACCUGUUUCUUCUAUAUGUCUAACUUAUAGAUUUAUUUCUAAUUUGUAUUUUUAAUCAAUUUCAAAAAAAGAAGGUUUUUGAUUUAAUACAUUUGUUAGGUAUGUGUAUUUAUAAUUCACCAGUAGUAAUGAAGUUUUUUUAUUCUUCUCUUUAUUGUUAAAUUAUGUUGUAGCUUUCAUUGAUGGUCAAAUACUAAUCGCACCAUUGCUCGCAAAAUGUAUAUUAUAUAAUGUGCACAGGUAUGUGAGCGUUUACAAUGUAUUGAAUUAUAAAUUAGUGCUAAUCUAAACGACUAUGCAGAUUUCUACGGAAAAGUGUAAAAUUAAACUCAACGUUUAUUCAUUCUAAUUCACACUUGUUUACGCUUUGCUUGAUGUGUAAUACAUCCGUAACAUCUUUUAAUGAAUCAAGUCAAGAAAAUGCGUUAUACCUGAAUUUAUUUUUUCCAGCGACGUAUUAGAGUUCACGGAGGUGUAAUCGCGUCUACUUGUAUAUCGAAAACCAUAGAAAUGGAUCCUCCAAAUCGCUGUUGGCGAAACGGCCAGCCGGUGCAGCAUAAUCCAAAUUAGUCGUGUUUGCGCACGUUAAUUAAUUAUUAUGGCUAAUCGCGUGGUUCGGCGAAAAUCCGACGGGCCAAGCGAGCCAGUGAUUUAUUGCCUGUACAACGAUCGAUCGUAGAGAACACGAUCGAUUCGUUUUCCAUGCAGCACAAAUUAAUGAGAUCAUAGUGGGCGGUAAUCCUCCCACCCCCUCAUUUCUCUUUCUCUCUCUCUCUCUCUCUCUCUCUCUCUCUCUCUCUCUCUCUCUCUCUCUCUCUCUCUCUCUCUCUCUCUCUCUCUCUCUCUCUCUCUCUCUCUCCCUCUCUGCGUUUAUGUGCCGUUGCAACUUCGACAUUACGGUUGCACAACGAUAAAGGGCAUCGCCGUAUUACGGUCGCAGAGAGAUUCGAGCGAUCGUUGAAUUUCAAAUGAAUGCGAGAUUAAACGAGCCAUUAGAAAGCCAUCACGUGUUUAAUAGCACGUGUAUACUGAUGGGCAGCGAGGCAACAUGGCAUUUAUUUAGAGAGUCGAGGCUGGAUCCUAAGCGAGGAAAUUCUAAGCAUUUGAGUCGAAGAAAAAUAAUUUAAGAUAAGCUCCAUCGUCAUUUUCCCGCGAUAAAUCAUUAGCGCACGUUUACCGGUACGCUACGAGCAAUUAUAAUUUGCGUUGCGCGGUCGAAUAUGAAUGAUAAUAAGCGUUGAAUUAUCGAUGGAACGCGACGGGAUAUUCGUCCCGCAUACGAAAUCGCAGAUCGUCGAUGCAAUCGAAAUUUUUCGCAUUAGUGCAUCAGUACGUGCAGACAUGCAACUGUGCACAUCGAUAAUAAAAUGAUCAAAAUACACUAAGAGAAAAGUAUUUGAUAUUUGUAAUCAUUGUAUAUCAUUGAAUGUUAAAAUAAUUGUUGUGUAAAUUUUGUAAAUUUGAAUAAUCCGCGCAUUUAUGUUUAGUUUAUGUUACCAAAUUACUAGACUAGUUAUCUUUUCGAGCAUUUUCGCGACAUCUAGUCUAAUCGCGAUCAUUGUUACGUUUUUUGUUUUUUCGGCGUUAGUCUCACUUUGCGGCAUGGUGAAGUAAACCUGUAUCACUCAACAUUGAAUUACACUUUCUUUAUCUUGAGAAAGUAAAUAGCGUUUACAUACGCACGUGGCACAAGUCACAAGGAAACACAGUUUUCACGAAACAAUAAUUAUAUAUAAUUUUUUAACGAAAUUUAACUCUAAUUCCGUAACUAUAAUUAUUAGAAUUAUAGAGAAACUCUACUUUUACAGUUAUUAUAAAUAUUAUCUUAACAUAUCUUAAAAAUUUGAUUUAAUGAUUUUUUGAUAGCAGAUUCGAACACAGUGCCUUAAAAUACAUUAAAAAAAGAUUAUUUCCUUUGCUUGCACUAAAAUUAACGUAAAACUGAUAAAUUAAUGCAAUUAUAAAAACGGAACUCCUAACCAUAAUUAUUUUAACAUUAAGUUAUAAUUACAAAUACCAAAUACCUUUCUCUGACAAUCAGUGAACGUAAAGGCAAAUGCCAGACUGGAAUAAAUGUUCCUGGAAGUAAUAAUAUUAAAUGUAAUCGGAAAUAAUAAAUCGAAUUGUGGUGCUAUAUAUAGAAGAGAAAUGCCCGCGCGCAUUAUCACAGUUGUUUCGUAAAGUAACGUCAUCCUCUCGCGUUAUCGGGCGCCAAAUAAUCGUCUCUCUUUCUCUCUCCCGUCGUUUCUUCUAGAAAUCCGUCUAUCUUAUCGGAAAUGACUCAACCACCGCUAUUGAACACAACAUCGGCAGAGAUCUUGAUUCAAAGGCCGUGCCAUGAAUGGAAACUAUGCGGCGAUUCAUGACUCGGCUGCGCUUCGUGGAAGUUAUUAUUCUGCGGAAUAAUUCGCGAGUAUUCUGCGAAUUCCAUCUUCGUGGCACUGAAAAUGUGCGACCUAUUAUCAUAUAUCUUUCGAAUCCAUUCAUCGUCAGAUACAUUAGGCAGAAGCCGAGCCCAUGCUUCCGAAGAAGCAUUUUUUUUCACAAGAGAGAGUCGUAUUGCAGUUCUCGCGAAUGAAUAGGAUAAUAAAUCGCGAUAAUAACUUCCGGUAAUGCUGAGAUUGGAUAGAAAAACACAAUAGAACGCGUAUGUGCACAAUUUUGAAAAAACCGCCUAACGCGCACGGGACUUGCGGAAAUUGCUUGCAAUAUCGCGCUAGAACAGCUUAAUAAUAUUUAAUGCAAUUUAAUGCAAAAUUAACGUACGCGCUCUCUGUUAAUUAACAUUGCUGGAACACGAGCAUUAUUGCACAAACGUACAUAAAUAAUUAAUUACGCUAGUUUCCCCCUUUUUUUAUUCCGUGCAACAUCUUGAAUCUUGAUUGUGAAAGAAAAUCCAUGUAUUUUCUCAACGUGAAAAUUUACAUGGAAUGCAAAACGUUGCUUCCUUUCCCGACAUCUUCUCGACGCGCAUUAUUCGAUCGAGGAUGUAAAAGUUGUCGAUAGCAAUCGCGGCAGGCGACACUAAUGGAAAAAAACGACAUAAGCGGUGCUCAACAGGUGGAUAUAGCGUGUGCGACAGUCAUUCGCGGGGUUUAUUUCGCCUACUAUGUAACAGAUAGCGAGACUACAUCGAGCGCGCCGUGCCGGCCUAGCAAUCAUCGUGACGUGACCUAAGUAAGCUUUAACUGACCCAGCCUUAUGUCGACCUGUUGCAAGCCUUGCAUUCGAUAUUGCCUCUCGACACAGUCGGCCGAGCUGACACUCGGCGCUAUUCACGCGAACGUCAACGCAAGCGAAUGAUUUAUAGCGGUGUUUAUUGUCAAAGCCUUCGGAUAAUUAUUUCUAUGUGCCGGCGAUUACGUUAAUUUACUAUCGCUCUGAGCGCGAUCGCCAAACGUGAUCGAUCGCCGAUGCGAAACGUAAAUGGCAGCGCGCCGCGGAGAUUAGCUUGUUGUCGACAUCUCGAUGUGGUCGACGGUCGCAAUCCCCCAUGACACCCCGGCAUUAUGUAAUAAUGCUCGUUCGUUAGUAACACGUAUCGCGCGCGUAUCGUCGUCUAUCGCGCGAUAUCGCGUUCUUACGAAAAUACGUUAUUACGUGUAAUUGGAUGUCACUGAUGCAACUGUGCUUCGCCUUUGCCCGGGAAAAGUUGCGAGAGUGUACUUCUCUCUCCCUCUCUCUCUCUCUCUCUCUCUCUUUUUUACAUGUUAUUAAGACACAAUCUGGCGAUAAUCCCGGCGCACAUUACGCGACGUCUGGCGCCAGUUUGUCCGCGCGCCUUUGAUACGUCUCGCAGACAAUCCGAACCUCCCCGCCGGACUAUUAUUACACGGCGAAAUAACGCCGGAGGAUGGAGAAGCAAAACACACCGUACACCCGCGGGGAAGAGACUAAACCGCGUUCGACGUGCGUGUCUGACGUGUAGGAAGCAACGCUGAAAAUUCCGGAACGUCAGUCAAUGGACAAUAGCGAUUACCAGCCCGCCCGACACGGAGACCUCAUUGAGGCGGGAAGCACUAUACGUGGCGCCUCAUUCAUGAAUUCCAAGUAUAACCGCAAAUUGGUUUCGUCGGUUACACUGCCCUGCCAGAAACCUGUAAUUGCACGCGCGUUGCACGCACUCGGUUCUCUGAUGCAUACGUGAGGCGUCAACAUCACCGAACGUCUUCUUCGUCUCGAUAAACUAUUAAAGUGCAGUCCAAUCUAUAUAUUUAAUAUACAGAUAAUAUAUAGAUAUAUAAAUAUAAUUUAAAGAUAGUUGAUUAGAUGUUUAACAAUAAUAAUGUAAAUGGGAUUAAACUGGAAAUAUAUAGUUGGGUGGAAUAAAAGAACUGUUAAAAAUUACAAUACAAUAUAAUAAAAAAAGAUUUUAUUGGUUUAAUUGUGGACGUAACUUUUUCAUUUAUUUAAAGUGGUUCAAAAAUCUUUAAACAUUCAAGAAUGUAUUUUCAAGUUUCCGGAACAAAUGUGUUUUUAUAAUAAGUUAAUUCUUUGACCGAUAAAUAUUUUAAACAUAAAGAUAAAGUUUAGAUUGUCUAUUUCAGUCUACAGCGGAUCUUGGUGCUGAAUAUAAUUUUUCUGUUGCUUUAAUAUUCCUAGCUCAAAUAAACUGCAUGUCGACUAUUUUGUCAGUCUUGAAACACAAUUACUAGUCAGAUUCUGAGAUCAAUGUUCAGAAACAUUUUUUUAAUUUUAUCCGAAAAAAAAAAAUUGUAAAUAAUUUAUUGCAAAAAAUAAUAAUACUUCAGCUAGAUUCCUGGUUAGUAACUGUGUUUCAAGACUAACAAAAUUGUUGGCGCGCAAUUUAUUUAAGCUAGGAAUAUUAAAUCAGUAGAAAAAAUAUAUUUAGCCAUGAGUCGCUGUAAACCGAAAAAAAUAGACAAUUUAAACUUUAUAUUAAAACGUAUUUCUUUUUAGAGGCAAACUGUAGUACAAUUUAAAUAGUGUCGAAAACAAUCGAACAUGGAAUACCCAUAAUUGAGCGUUAAGAAUUAAUUACGACGACUUUACAAUUAUCAAUGGGAUUGAUUUUAAUGAUUAAUUAUAAUAAAACAAAAUUUGAAUUUUACAUUUCACAAUCUAAUCAGUACUUUUAAACAGAACAACUUGAUAACUUGUAGCUAUCUGCUUGGAAUAAAUCCGAAAAUUCUUUGUAGAAGGAAUCUUGACGUUUCAUCAACGUAAUAAAUUAUUAGGAGGUCAGUUAAACGCUGUCAUCGUUCGGGUUAGUGUCAGAGAUCGAGAUGGAAAUAAAAUCGCUGUUAAUAACGGCUUAAUGAUCCAUGAAGCGGAAAAGGCGAGCCAUUAGCCUUGAUGCUCUCUCGAGAUACGAAGAGACGGUGUUAAAAAAUUUGCGUUAUAUUGAUUAAAUAAUUAACGAGGUGAAAAUUAUACCUGCCCGCCGGUCUGAGAUGUCUAUCGCGUACAUAUGACUUGCGCGCAAUUAUCAGGCUCGCCAUGCUCGCCGGCAACGUAUUUAAUGAUACGCUUACUUAAUUUCGUGCGAUCCACUCGGUCUUAUCGAUAGAAGAAGUUUCGUCGAUGCGCUCUGCCUCGUCAUUCUUUUAUACCUUGUUUUUUCCUUUCUCGCAACAAGUAGCGCACUCAACGAACCGUAGUAAUGUGUAAUUCGAUCGUCUAGUUGAAUCGUUCGUGCGAGCGGGGAAAAGCCAAAUAGGCCUAGAUGUGAAACACACUUUCGUGUUUCGCUAAAGUACACAAACACCCAACUCGGUAUGCUAUCGUUGAAGGGAAAGACUAAAAGAGGAAAAAAAAAAGAGAGAGAGAUCCGAAUCCUUUCUGAUGAAUUAAGCCGCCACUACCAUUAAGUCCCAUUCAGCAGCGGCAGUUACGACUGCUAGUACGCAAUUUGCGCCGGUGACGAGUCACAUACUUGACUCGAACGCUAAUUGUAAGUGACCGCUCGUGGGCGUCACAGGAAGCUGCGUGUGGUGUGUGCAUGUAUGAGCGAUGCAAGCGUGACGUCUCUCCGGGAAAAAAAUCCUACAACGUACGAGCCAGGGUUCGCCGUUGGCUUUCCUGCGUGUUUGCUUAGCGAGAGCUUUUUUUGUUCACGAGAUUUUUGACAAUAACCCGAAAUUUCCCAGAAUGUGAAGAAAUUAAUAAAAGAAUAACGGAAGGAAUAGUAUAUUUCGUAGGAGUUCGCGUUACUAGCGCGAAAGAUGCGGUACAAAUUUACUUGGGAAAUUACACGAGAUACCGACAGAUACAUCGUACGGUGCGCGUUGCGAAUUAAUUUUUCUUCCUCCCAACAAUGCAUAUCAUGUCUCUCUCUCUCUCUCCUCGUGCGUGUCCAUCUUCUCUGGAUUUCAUGGAACGGAACGUAACAGUAGCCAGGACUGCUCUAAUUGUACCUGGAAUCAGUUAGAACGCUAAAACUCGUAUCUCGCGCUUUAUUUACUCCGUUUCUUACAAACGCCGUCACGCCUCCUGUCUCAUUGUCAGUCUCAUUUAGCUUUUUACAACUUCUUCUGUAUCCUAAGAGAUUCGAAAAUGACAAGUCUAAUUUCUCGCUUUACCGAUUAUAUACAGUUUCAUUGUAUUGGAUUUAUUCCUAAUGGGUAUAUGAAAUCAUCUUGCAUGUAAAUACAUAUAUAAGUUAGACUUUUAAAUUCUCAAAUAAAAAGAUUUUCCUUUUUGGAUUUUUUAAAAACCAGUUUCAAAUGAGUUGUAUCUACAAAUUACAAUCUAAAUUACUACUUACAUAUGCCUAGUGUCAAAUUUAAGUCUGUCUUUUACAUUGUUGACAUUGUGCAAUUUUAAUAGUUGACCGUAUCCAUGAAUAUGGAAAAUCAAACAAUAGUUUACUGCGUAUUUUAAGAAGUUAUAUUAGCACAUACCAUUUUUGCUAUUAGCACGCAUUUUAUGCAUAUACAUAUCGUUUAUCCGUAAAAAUUAUCACACAAAUGUGUUUAUUUGAAAAGAGCAUAAAAAUUACACUAAUGUAUAUAACAAAAUAUAUGAUUAUAUUAUGUACAUAUUGUACACAAUUUUGUGAUAAUUAAAAUAAAAAAUUGUAUAAAGAAUUCCAA
rnacentral:lncRNA from 1 species